rnacentral:rRNA from 1 species
UACGUAGGUGACCAGCGUUGUCCGGAUUUACUGGGCGUAAAGAGCGCGCAGGCGGUCGUUCAAGUCGAGUGUGAAAGCCCCCGGCUCAACUGGGGAGGGUCAUUCGAUACUGAUCGACUCGAAGGCAGGAGAGGGAAGCGGAAUUCCCGGUGUAGUGGUGAAAUGCGUAGAUAUCAGGAGGAACACCAAUGGCGAAGGCAGCUCGCUGGGACGGUACUGACGCUGAGACGCGAAAGCGUGGGGAGCAAACAGG